UUACGGUCACAUCACGUUGAAACACCGUUUGCGUACGAUCAUCGAAGUUAAGCAACGUUGAGCCUGAUCAGUACCAGGAUUAGUGACCGCUUGAGAAUAACAGGCGCUGUGA